rnacentral:snRNA from 1 species
AAAAUUAUAGCAGGAGAGACACCAUGAUUUAGAAGGUAGUUACCCAGAACAAGGCUCACGCAUUGCAUUUGGAAUAUGUUGACCCCUGCCAUUUCCCCAAAAGUGGAAAACUCGACUGCAUUUUAUGUAAUAAGAAGUUGAGCUUCUA